rnacentral:rRNA from 1 species
ACCUGCCCAAUGAAUAUUAAUUUUAAUGGCCGCGAUAUUUUGAUCGUGCAAAGGUAGCAUAAUCAUUAGUUUCUUAAUUAGGAACUGGUAUGAAAGGUUGAACGAGAAAAAUACUGUCUCAAUUUAAUUUUAUUAGAAUUUUAUUUUUAAGUAAAAAAGCUUAAAUUUAUUUAAAAGACGAGAAGACCCUAUAGAGUUUUAUAUUUUAUUAUAUUAAUAAAAGUUAAAGUAUUUUUUUUUUUAUUAUAAUAAAGUAUUUAGUUGGGGGGACUAAAAAAUUAAAUUAACUUUUUUUAUUUAUUUUACAUUUAUAUAUGAAUAAGUGAUCCAUAAGUUAUGAUUAAAAGAUUAAAUUACCUUAGGGAUAACAGCGUAAUUUUUUUUAAGAGUUCUUAUCGAAAAAAAAGUUUGCGACCUCGAUGUUGG